CUUCAAUAGAGAGCGUAUAGCUUGGAGAGAGAACGGCAGUGUAUAGUGUGUGUGUUAGGACCUCAUCCCUAUCAGCUGAAGACAUGGCUCAAGAUCAAUUAAGCCAGAUGGAAACUGCCUCUUCUUCGUAAUGGCCACCGUGAUUGGAUACUGCAAUUAUUCUUAUCGAACGCGAAGCUGAUGAUUUCAAGAACUGUUCCCGAAGGAUUGUGUUCUUCAUAUACAUUACGUGGGAGGAAUUUCACAUGAUUCCUUAUGUUAUGGAUUUGUGAUGUGUCUUACUAUUGAUGCUAUGAUAAAGGAAUUUAGUCUUACUUUUUAUUCUGUAUGUUCUCUUAUUUCACAAUAAAUGUAUUUUUUUC
rnacentral:lncRNA from 1 species